ensembl:lncRNA
CUUCGGCCGCCUGGCCCCCCGCACCCCCAGGCCUUUUAAAAGGACCUCCCGCCGCUCGCGCGCUCUGCCCCGGGGUUUCCCCUGGCCCCGCGCUUCGCCCCGCUCUACUUCUCAGCAACUUCGGCGGCCGCGCGCCGCCGGUUGUCGCCCGCCUUUGAAGUUUGCAGCGCCGGCCGCAAAGUUAGGACACUUCGGGCGAUUUCAUUUUCCCCCCCCUCUUUUAUCUGCCUCCUCCUCCAAGUCCUUGUGGUUCCUGAGUACCGGUGUUCAGCAUCUUGGCCGGAGCAGCCUAGGACGUGGACUUGUUCGCACUCCACACCUCGGGGAGGGAUCUUUCCUCUUCCCCUCAGAAAAAUAUGCAUUUUGCAAGGAGGGAAUCUCCGCACCUCCUCCUCCUCCUCUCCUCCCACCCGAUCCCUGAGCGCCUGUGAGAACCAGGGGAGUCGUCAAUGGAAAUAAAUAGGACCCCGCUCCAUUCUCCGCCCCCUUCAAACAAGUAAAAUCCUCCCCGGGCUCGAAGAAGUAGAGAUAAAACAUCCCUCCCGAGGGAGCGGUUGUCGGCAUUUGAUGGGAUUGAAUUGUUUUAUUAUCCUGAAAGACGUGACGGAUGGAUGCGAGAGCAAAGAUGCGAAUAGACCAGAGUGUACUGAGGGCUAUCGGUAUUUAUUACUCAUUAUUGUUUAUUAAAAGUGAUAAUAAGG